AGGAUGCUUUGAAGAAGAAUUCACUGGGUAUCUUGAUGACCAAAGGUGCUAAAACGGAGCUUAAACUUGGAUUCAGGAAACCGACAGUAACCAUGAUAGUUGGCGCUAAUGGAGGUGGAAAAACUACAUCUCUUGGGAAACUGGCUUAUCGGUUGAAGAGUGAAGGUGCUUUAGUGAGUUCAUGAUUUGUUGAUACUUUUAUCAAUUGAGUAAAAUGUCAUUUCGUCCUUGAGGUUUGGCCAGUUUUGCGAUUUUUUUACAAAGGUUUGU